rnacentral:rRNA from 2 species
CCUACGGGCGGCUGCAGUGGGGAAUAUUGGUCAAUGGGGGAAACCCUGAACCAGCAAUGCCGCGUGAGCGACGAAGGCCUUCGGGUUGUAAAGCUCUGUCCUUGGGGAAGAUAGUGACGGUACCCAAGAAGAAAGCCACGGCUAACUACGUGCCAGCAGCCGCGGUAAUACGUAGGUGGCGAGCGUUGUCCGGAAUUAUUGGGCGUAAAGGGCGAGUAGGCGGCCAAUUGUGUCAGAUGUGAAAGGCUAGGGCUUAACCCUAACAGUGCAUUUGAAACUGAUUGGCUUGAGUGUAGGAGAGGGAAGCGGAAUUCCUAAUGUAGCGGUGAAAUGCGUAGAUAUUAGGAGGAACACCAGUGGCGAAGGCGGCUUCCUGGCCUAUAACUGACGCUGAUGCGCGAAAGCGUGGGGAGCAAACAGGAUUAGAUACCCGGGUAGUC